GUAUCAUUUUGGUUAUUAUUUUUAUUAAAAGCAGUUAAUUAAUUAAUUUAAUAAUAGCAGUUAAUUUCAUAUAUCUAUUUAACAAUAAGACAAAUAUAUUUUAAGCAUUGCCAAAGAGAAUAAAAACUGAAACUAUAGAAUAACCGAAGGAAAGUAUUUUACAAACAAGAUUAUACUUUGCGUAGAAUAAGAAAUGAUCACAAGUUUGUUCAUUCGUAAAUAGACUUAACGAUUUCUUGUUUUUGCGAUUACUGCCCGAAAUUUUUCAUAAAUCAUUCCAAAAUUUGCUAGAUAAGUCAUAAUGAUGUUACAUUAAUUAAUGCACAAAAUAUACGUUCUAAAUAAAUUUAAAAACGUUCAUCUAAAUAAAUGUAUUAAUGUUAGUGAAUCGCACUCUUAUUAAGAAGAUAAAAAUUGAAAAAAGGGAAUAAAUGACUAUCAAAGAUUUAAGCGUUAACCAAUUUCGGGACAAGAUAUGACAUCACAAUAUAGCGAUGGAAAUAUAACUUAUAAAUUCUAUCCUUGAGUAUUAUUAUAGAUAUAAUAUCAACAUCGGCAGAUAUCAAUUUCCAAAAUUAAAUCUAAUAAAUAUCGUUCUAUAUUUACUAUAUUUACUGCAAUGUUUAUCUUUUUAUAGAGUAUAAUAUUUUUGUAUGAAGUAUAUAUAAAAAAUACAUUGUACAUAUGGUGGAAGUGUCUGAAUAUUUCGUUGAGAUUCUAGAGUUUUUAGGAUAAAUUUAACAGUUUCUCACAUAUGUUUAAUAUCAAUGGCAGAUUCCUCAGUAGUAAGUGGUACAGUCUUAUUUGUAGGGAUGAUCGAGCGGAUGACUAUUACGGGAGGUUGAAGUAUUGUUUUGUUGCUAGGUAAAAAGAGACAUUCUCUCAUACUCGUUGUUCCGUUCGUCUGCGCUCGCUGGUCCAUAUGAAAGUCCGAUCUACCAGAUUGAUAUAGACUGUACAUGUAUUUAUCCACAGAAGCAAGAUUUUGGUGAUUUUUUAUUCUUUUUAUUGGUUUUUUCUUCUUUCCAUUUGGCGUAAUUCGUCUAUUUAGGUUAUCGAUAAAUUGUAUUGCAAGUUUAUGAGUCACAGUACCUACACUUGAUAAUAUGUAAUUAAUAAUUGAUUUGAGAAUACGAAGAUGAAAAUAGAAAAGAUUAAAAAAUUCACAUUUUUGUUUCAGAUAUAUGAAGUUACAAUUUAAUUUGGAACUAGUUAAACGAAUCAUUAACUAUUAUUAUUUUGAUAGUGUGUAACGUAUACAUAUGUGUAGUGUACAGUCUUUUAUUUUUUAAUGGUGUGUAAUACUUUCUGAAGUAUUGUAGAAGUAUAGAAUUCUAUACUCCAUUGCGAUUGUAGGAUAUCCUAUUCUAUAUUAUGGAAUAUCCUACUCUAUAUUUUAUUUAUAAUUUCAUACGUGCAAGAGUAUGUAUUUUUAAUUCAAAGCAGCACUAUACCGAAUCGGUAAAGUCGCAUGCGAUACGAAAAUGGUAUGGGUGAUCAGAUGAUCUCCAAAACGUGGAGCUUGAGAAAGCAUUGAAUAUCAUGUCUAUUUCUGUAUCUCGUUUAUGGUAAUGGUUUAAAUUGAAACUAAAUUUUCCUGUGAAAUUAAAAAUAAGUUAUCUGUGAUAUUUACUGUGUUGGCUGUAGCAAAUCGCAGAGGGCGUAGGAAAUACUCAAAUUUUUUCCAAACUGGUAUUUCAGAACCUGGGAUACAAAGUCCCACUUAAUGUCACGUCUAUUCUGUCCUUAAUUAAUGAUAUCAACACACCGACAAGGUAGUCAAUGAUGUCACAAUGUCACAUCCAAUGGUUACGUCCAUCGAUCAUGUCUAUCAGUCACAUCUACAGAAGUCAAUGGUCACGUCUACUCUAUAUAUAUCUCAUCUGUGGUAUAAUCGUAGCCGAAUAUAGGAAAUAUAGGAAAUCUUAUAGAAUUUUAUUCCACAGGAAUUAAUCAUAGAUAGUUUAAAUUCUGAGUAUAGAUGGCAUCAUAAUAUUAUUUUCUACUGUAUCGGCAACCGUAGAAACGAUACAAAGCUUUGCUGAGUAUAAUCAUUGACUAACGUAUCUCGUCUGUCGUACGAUAAUUUUAUUUCAUAUCAAAUGUGAUUCAUUUACACGAAUAUUAUAAAAACUUUAAAACGUAAAAGGCGCAAAGCAUUACGAAGGCAUUGUAAUUGAAAGAAGAAUGUAAUAGUUACGAGUAUCAAAGUUCAAAGAUUUUAGAGUAGUUUAUAACUUUUAAACGAGUAGUUGACAUUUUCGACGAUACUUCGUAAGAAUAGAAUUUGUCGUUAGCUGGAUUUCUGCGGAUACCAUUUAAGAAAUCAAUCUCUGUGAUGAUUAGGAAUACAAGGGUAGUGAGAGAAACAGUGAGAGAAACACGAUACUACGUGAAAGUGCUUUAUUCCUUUCGGAGAUCGUUCAUCGCAGACAUCGGCGUCGGGAAUGCCGCUCUCAUUUUUCUUUUUUUCAUAUAUGUGUACAUAUAUGUAUACAUAUACAUACACACAUGUACGAAUGCAUAUGUGUACAUAUAUAUUAUAUCUUAUGUACGUACGUAUGUAUGCAUAUAUACAUACAUAUAUACUCUAAUAAGCGAUCCUAAUUAUCGAGUAAAUUACCGUCUGAUAUUAAAAAAUACGCAUGUAUAUGUACAUGUACAAUUACAACACACGCCAGGACGGCAAGAAUCCUGGUCCAGUGAGAUCUUAAUGAUGAUUUUAAAACGAAGGUUGAAUGUACAGUAUACACAUUUACACUUAUCGUUUCAGCAACAACAAUUUUAUUGUACGUAGAUUGCAAAAAUUAAAUAAAUAAUGACAGUGGUACAUUGCGUAUUGGACGGAAAGGCCCAAAACACUGCGCAAAGGUGUGAGAGGAAAUUAUAGGUUUAAAUUCGGUCGAGGUGCGAUUGCUUCUUCAUCUCUCUCUUGUUUUCUUUCUUCUCUCUCGUCUUAUCAUUUUUCACACACAUUCUGUUUCUCAUUCAUUUCCUUUCUGUAUUCAUUUUUUCCUCAUCUUUGCUUCUGAUCGCACUAAUGCACUUUAUCUUUCCUCAUAUUUAUUUUCACGCUCUCUUCUUCAUAUAUUACCAAUUUUAUCACUCUCUCUCUCUCUCUCUCUCUCUCAUUCGCCCCGCCUUUCACUCUUUCUGUUUCGUUCACUCUCUCUCUCUCUCUCUCUCUGUUGCUUUCUCUCACUUUCUCUCUCUCUCUCUCUCUCUCUCUCUCUCUCUUCCUCUUUCGUUCGUUCGUUCGUUUUCUCAAGUAAAUGCGGUCCACAUUGCGAAAAACAGAAACGGAGAGAGUCAAGUCUCGAAUAUGAGAAUAUUCAAUGAAAAAGGUCGGAAACAGAUUUUUGCGAUUUAUAAAAAAUCUAUUUUGAGGCAUGCCCGGUAAUACCAGACAAAUAGCGUCGUUAUCCGUUUCUCUGUUCUCCUUUAAACACCAUCCGUUAAUUUUCAUUUGAAAUGCUCCUACGUAGUAAUAAUGGUUUGGUUUUAUCUUUUUCAUCUUGCUCUUUUCUUUAUAUUACAAUAAUUAACAUCGUCACAUACAGACUUAUACACUAACGAUAUGACUACAGCUCCAAACCAGCAGAGCGUUCAUCGAUGGAGAAGUGAGAAUUAAUUUAUUUACGCGUCUUUCUUUCUUUCUUUCGUUUUCCUCUCGCUAGCAUUCGCUCCCACUUUCGUCCCUUCUCCGACUUUUCUUCCUUUUUAUUUCCGGAGGGAAGGUUUCCUCUCUUUCGUUCGUUUCCGAUUGAUAAAGUCGAUAUGCCAAUUUAUUUAUAAAACGUUACAAAAUUAUUCGUGAGCGCAGCCGUGUGACCUUUCGAUUCUACAUAUACGAAAGUCUCGCGUUCCUAUAAAUAUAUUCAUAAUCGCUGUUGCCUUCCUGCUGCGCAACGGACCAAGAUUUUUCUAUCGUAAACACCUCUCGUACCUCUGUCGAGCCUCCUAUGAUCUUUCCAACGCUCUCUCCAACUUCAUCGCUCUCGCACAUUCUCUCCACCUUUCUCUCUUCGUUCAUCCCUCUGCCUUUGUUCGCGAUUUUAACGUUACGAACGCCAGUCAACCCCUCAUGCGAAAAGAAACGCUCCGUACGCGUACAUCCGUUCAAUUUUCUUUGUCUCACUUUGUGCAUCGCGUUUCCACGACCGGCCAACCCAACGAACCUAUUCAGCGAUAUCAACGCGUAUCGAGUAAGGCAUAGGAAAGUUCGUCGGUGUUUUAGCGGAUCUUCACAAUAUAGUGAAUUUCCUUAAUUUUAAAUCGCAGCAACAAAUGAUCGCAGAUUUUUCUGCAGACUACAAUUUCAAGAUCAAAUAAAUAAGAAACGUUAUGCAUGAAAUUAGAUUUAGUUGAAGAUCGAUGUAACGCAAUGGUAUACGCGCGAUUCGAACAGAAAUCGAAAUCAAACGAUUCCGUAACGAUUUAAAGUUUAAUCGAAUUUCCGAUGAAUUAAGUUUUACGAUCUUUUAUUUUAUUUUUACAUUUUACGAUCCGCUAAACUCUUGGCGCCGAUCGCGUGAAAAAUUGAACGGAUAAAGGACGUUGUCGCGUGUUACAAUUUUUCUCAAGGAAUGUUUCGAUGAUUUCGAAGAUAAUGCAUGCCAAUAGAAAAGUAGUUAGGGGAUCUCGUUGACGGGCGCGUUAUGGCUAGUAUACAUUAUAUACGUAAUAAAAUAUUUCUUGUCCGCUCUUUUCUUCAUGGAAAUUAGUUCGUUCGCUCGCUAUCCUCCCUCCCCCCUCCCUAUUCUCCUUUUUUUUUCUAUCCUUCCAUUAUCGUAAAUCGGCGCGAUUUUUGCAUCUCUUGUGUGUACGCGAAUUGCCGACUCGAUUGUACGAAGGCAUCGUGUAGGGAACUAUUGAGAUGUAUAAUAUAAUUAUGCGUACGUCUAUAUACGUAGUUUCAAUGAUGUUUUUUUUCCUUUGCAUUCUUUCAUUCUGCUUUCAUCUUAACGAACGAUUAACCGAUCGAUCGAUAUUCGAGUAACGUUUAAGUACAUCGGUUGACACAGGUGGAGCAUUCUCGUUUGUAUUUGCCUUCCUCUUUUAGUUUCAUUUUUACGUAUCGUCUCUCUCUCUCUCUCUCUCUCUUUCUCUUCUCGGUUCAUCUUCUUCUUUUCUUUUUUUUUUUUGCUUUUUUACUUUUCGUUUAAACACUAGAUUGCGGGGAUUCCGGCACAAACAAGGAAUGUCGUAGUACAUUAUAUCAACAUUUAAUAAAAUAUCUGAAACAUUAACAAAUAGACUAUAUGAGUACUACAUAUCUGCCCUUAAUAAUGUUUUAUAGCUAAUCGAUAAGUAGUAAUCAUUUUUUUCUCUCCUUCAUAUUGUUUCCGCUUUUUUUUUCCCUUUUCGACUGGUGAAUUUUAAUCGACAAAUAGAUAGUAAAUUCUGUUUAUCAUUGAAUGCCUAUUUCUCUUCUAUCUUCCCUCCUGUCGUUUCCUCCUACUACCGUAACGCCGUUUCCCUUCCUAUCUGGCGCGAGCUUCUAAAAAUAUUACGCGCGAUCACCGCCUUCUCCUUCCUCUUCUCUCGUUUCGAGCACCCGAUAUAAUUAAUCUUCGCUUACGAGUCACACUCGCAGGUAUCUCGAUCGUUUCUCAAAGACUUUCCUCGCGUCUGCUUAUCUCGCCUUUACCGCGCCUUUAUCUCCUCUUCGCGGUUCGCGUCGUCUAUUACCUUCUCCCUCCCCACGGCCCAUUUCUUCCACGCUUUAUCGAGAGAAACCAAUUAUUGUGAUUUUUACUUUCAGUGACAAACGGGCUUCCAUUUACUACGGUAGAAACUUGUAUAUGCAACGACGAUAGGGCUGGCUAGUGGACGCGAACACGCUGCAAGACAAAUAGCGUCGCAUCGAAAGUACGUCGCGUUUAGAAGAUUCGCCGAUAACGCGAAGCUCGUGUCACGAGAUCCAAGCGUUUCGUUUGCAUUCCAACGAAAAUAUUAUCGCCAGAUUUCCAACGAUACAGGCAAUUUCGCGAAUGAAAAUUAAAAUUGCUUUGUAGAAAAGUAACCGAACAUCACGCUCUUUUAGCUUCGUAAUCGCGCGCAGCAGUCAGCCACGGGGGAAAUAAGUUUCCAUUUCCACCUAUGUACUCCGUAAUCUCUAUAUUUGUAUAUAUAUAUAUAUAUAUACAUAUACAUAUACAUAUAUAUAUAUAUAUAUAUAUAUAUUUAUAUACUUAUUUUUUUAUUCAAAAUGUUAUAUCUCGUUUAGAGAAGGCGACGCGCGUCGCCUUAUUUAUUUACUUUGCUUUUUUUUUUUUUUUAAUGCCUACAAAUGCAUCGUUUAUAUCUUUUCCGGCAUCAUGGACAUACAACGUAAAUAGCCUAGAUCAUCGUACAAAUAAGUUGAUCGAUAUUAAUCGUUGCCCUGAGUGCCUUGGUACCCGGCUUGCGAACGGAACUCGGUUUCCGUGUCUCGUUAAGCACGUUCGAACCUCAAACCAUUCCCGCUAUCCUGUUCGUUCUCGCGUAAACGCGCCUCCCGGUUCCUCGCGCUCCUGUCGUCCACCGUUUCCAUUAUGCCAUUGUUUUCCACUUUAGAAGCAGCUAAAGGAAAUAUUGUUAAGCGUCGCAACGCGUCGAUCGGCCGCCGAUCUCGCGCCAUCCGCCGCUCUAUCGAACAAGCGUGUGGCAUUUCGUUGGUUCGCGGCGAUUAAUCGACGGCAAUCAAUUCGAAAUCCGAUCGUCGAGCUGAACCACGCCUGUGUCUCGUUCUUUCCUUCCUCCUUCCGUUCCCUUGCCUCUUCCCUUCUUCCCUUUCUUUCUCUCUUUCUUCCCACACGCGAAAAAGUGAACGCGAAUUAGUGUAUUUGUAAACUGUACAAAGAGGAGGAUGCGUCGUGCAAGCGCAUCGUCGAUUGGCGAUUUGAAUGAACGAGCGGGAUGCGGUUCGGCUGGACGCUCGAGCGCGUUCGCGGAGAAACUGUCAACUCGCGAGUAAAAAGUGGCAGUCGAAUCAGACAGCUCGUUGAAGCGAAUUCCGGUGCGAGAAUGAUGCGAGUGUGAGGCGCGUGGGUGUGCGUGGGCGCGCGGGUCGCGCGCUGGACAAAAAUUCGGAUUAGAUGCAGGGGAAAGCGAAGAGGUGGUGUUUUGAGUUCGCGUUCGCGGCCGACGAAAUGUCGCCAAGCUUUCAACAACACGUUUGUUUUUCAUUCGGUAUGUACUCGGUGUGUCGACGCGAGCCACGAGGUUCGUGCGGAGAUCGGCCGACGACCGCGGUCUCUGCUGUGCUAUCGUAUUUUGACCCUUUCGCAGUUGCAAUUGCGCGACACCUUACAAAACGCUUGAAUGUAUAGAAAUAGUAGAUUAGAUUUACAAAACUCUCGUCGUCGGCGGAGGACGAUUAGGGGAAAAAAAAAAGAAAGAAAAAAAAGAGACACCGUUUUGCUGUCGAGGCUUGCGGUAUGUUCGUUAGAAAAAUUAGCCAUUCUUUCUUUCGUUUCCUCCUCGUUAACGAUACAGUACAAUUUACGUUAUAGAAUCACUUUGCUCGGGCGAAAAAUAGAUUAUUAUGUGUUUCUUUCUCUUCGUUUUUUUUUUUUUUUUUUUUUUUGGCUUUUCUCUUUUGUCUUUUUUUAUCGUUCUAUACCCUUUUCGCGUAUGUAUACGAGUUACUUUUAUAUGCGUUUGUGUUUCGUACGAGUACAUGUGUGUAUAUUAUAUCCUGUGUGAACGUGUGCGUGUGUACGUGUUCGCGCGUGUAUGCCGACUGUGUACUGAGACUUUACGGUAGUAUUUACGCGUUUAAUCGACUUUUUUUGUUUUUUUUUUUUUUAAAUAUCUUCCUUAUGUUGUCUGUUAUUAUCGUGUCCCACUCUGUAAGGCGAUCGGUUUAGCUUUUCUUAGCGCUUAUAAACGUAGUAUUUUUUUUCUUUUUCUUUUUUGUUUUAAUGCAGGCCAGGUGGCUCUUAGCGUAACCCGGGGCAACUCGGCAGGAUGUUUAUCUGAACUAGUACCGUUAAGAGUAUAGUAUUUUGUUAUUUAUACAUCUUUUUCUUUGCUCGUUUAAAUAUAUCCUGUAGUAAUCCUUGUUUUCAUUUGUUAAAAUGCGUACAAACGGAGAUACGGAAUUAUAAUAUGUAUAACGUACCGAGGGAGAUGUAGCGUUCAUUACUUAUCGAUUAUUAUUAUUUUUAUUAUUAUUAUUAGUAUUGUUAUUAUUACUUGUUAUUUAAUUACACAUUAAUUAUUACUAUUGUUAGUAUUAGCGUUAUUAUUACAUAUUAGUACUAAUGUUGUUGUUGUUGUUGUUGUUGUUAUUAUUAUUAUUUCCCAUUACUUCUUAUUUAUUGUUGUUGUUGUUAUUAUUAUUAUUAUUAUUAUUCAUUAUUGUUAAUCAUGGUUUCAUCUUUGCUGAAUAACACUCUCUGCGCGUGUAGAUAUAUUUUUAUUCGGCUUUCGUGUCUAGUAUUUUACGGUUUUACUUAUGAAGUCAUUAUCAUUAUUAUUAUUAUUAUUAUUAUUAUUAUUAUUAUUAUUAUUAUUUCUAUUAUUAUUAAUAUUGUUAUUCAUUAUUUAGUUUAUUUUCCUUGCGUCAGAAAAAUUGUCGAGAGUGAUUAUGCAAAGCCAAUACGGUAAUUACAUCAUUUUUUUUUGUUUUCUCUCCACCCCUUUGAAUUACUUCGGUUGAAGCUUCACACAGCCAAAAAAUGAAAAGCACUUAAAACAGUGCUCCACACUAUAUAAAUGAGUUCUCGAUUAAUUAAUUAAUUGAGUAAUUAAUUAAUUAAUAAAACAAAUCCCGAUCAACUAGAGUGGCAGAGGCAGCCGCCACCGCAUUGCCGCCCUCGUUUCCAAUGGACAUUUCUUCUCUUCUCUUUCCCUUCUUUCUUUCUCGUCCGUUCAGCUUUCCUGGUUUCUCGCGUGGCCUACUAUAAUAUAGCUUAAUCAAAGUAUCGUUCGUGCCCACUGUGUGUAUACAUGUUUCGUGUGUGUCUGUGUAUGUAUGUAUGUGUUCCUGUUUGUUCGUGUUGCUAUUGGUGUCUGGUUCUUCGUCCGUUUGUCUCUCCACGUAUUUACGUAUGCGCUCGUAAACGUACGUAGCAACGUUACUUUAUCACUUUCUCGUUAAAAACCGAUUUCUCAGUUGCUCGUAUGUAGUCGCGAGCGAGAUUUCUCCUCCAAUUAGUUCUUCGGCCUUCGUUCCCAUCUCCGUCCAAGUUACGUUUUAGAUAUACGUGCACAUAAUUCCUAUUUGCUUGUUCCUUCCUCUCAUUCUACACGGAUAGACGUAUAUCGCGCGUGUAACGCAGAAACGAAUUGCUAUCCGGCGUUUUCGUUGGAGCAAUUCAGCGCACGAUCCGGCUGAAGUCGAUGGAACUGUCGCUGACAACGAACGUUAAUCUUUCAGUUUCUAAAAUUAUCACGGCGUAUCGGAUAGUUGCCUCGUUUAGCGCCAAUUGUAAUAUCUAACUAUACCACUGGAAAGCGUGAUUCGCUCGAUCUACGAGUGGUCUUCUUUCUAUAUUCUUCUUCCUCUUUAAACUAUAAUACGCGCCAUAUGCCAUGCGACCAUCACUCGACCAUCCCCUGUUUUCCUUCAAAUUUCCCUGCCGCGAGCUACGCUCCUUUUUACAAACCGUCAAACUCUUUUAAACUUAUCGCCGAUUAUUCGCGUAACCGUGAGCAAUUUUAUCAAGGAAUAUGAAAUGGAAAAGCGAUGGAGAUUUGUCCGUGACAAAUGCAGCGUAACAGGGGAUGCUCGACGAACCUGUCAUCGCUAAUUAUUCGUACAACUGUUUCGUUAAGUUAGUAAGCUCUAGCCCAGGCUGAUCGCGAAACCACGGCUUACUCGGCGUUCUUGCUGCGAAAAGAGAACGUGACGGUGUGCAUAUCUAUCGUUUCUCGCGUUAAGUAGCGUUAAGUUUAAUAAGAAAUUGUUCGUUCUCUACGGCACGACGCGGCGACAGCGGAAUAUAGGUAACUAGCUUCAUAGCGGACUAGCUCUUUCUCUCUCUCUCUCUCUUUCUCUAGAUUAAUUUUCAGUUAGUUACAUUGGAAUGCAUGCUGGACUCUUUUGUCUCGAUCGUUUCAGUCACCCGUCCUCCUUGUUUCACGCUUCCUUUCUCACAACUCACGCUCCUCCUCACUUUCAUCUCACCCUUUCUGAGUCUCUCUCUCUCUCUCUCUCUCAGUCAUUCGUUCUCAGUCUCGCUCUGCCUUUUUACAUUUUUCCUAGCACCAGCAGCCGGUUGCCAAAGCCGGACGAUGCGAAGAGGAACGGUUGGACGAGCGACGAUCAGCGAUCGAUCCGACUAACAGCGAUAUGCAAGAUUUGCCGGAGUGGAGCCAUGUGAAUUUGGCAGAGCGACAAGUUCAACAGUUGGCAUCCCUUUGCAAGCACGCAGGUUCUAGCACGAAGGAACAUUAUUUUUUCUUGUUUUUUCUUUUUGCUGCUGUUUCUUUUUUUGUUGUUUUUUUUUCGCUCGUUCGUUUCGUUCGCAUUUGCCGGCUAGCGAUACCAUCCAUUUAUUCUACGCGAGGAAAUAUACAUGGAUUGUUGUACAAAAUGAACAGCAUUCUCGCUAACGACUUUUACGCUUACGCCGAGAAGGUAAAAGAAGGCGAGGUGUCGGCGGCCACCUGCACUCGACAUACCGUUCUCGCUGAAUCGCUACGUUGCAUCGCCACUCUUGUGCAAUACUAAAUGGAACGCAGUGUAAAUAUCGUAGGAUCUUAAUUAACACGGAUUUGAUUAGCUUCGUUUCUUCUUCUGUUCUGUUUAUUGUUGUUAAACGUGGAUUGAUUGGUUCGAUCGGUCUUUCGGCUCUCAAAUUAGUUACUAGACGCAACGGAAUGCAAUGGAAGUUCGAAAGAUUGUUUGUUUGUUUGUUUGUUCGACUUGUGGCAGGUGGGACGCUUGAUGUCGGAGAUCGAUCAAUUUUCCAUAUCGACCACGUGCCGAAGUGGUUGAUCAUACCGAGAGAGAAUCGACUCGUUUGCUAGACGCGGUUAUCUCGCUUCAAGAGAAACGCAGCCUCGAGCGUAUUCAAGCAAAAAUGGAGAAAGAGUGUUGGUUAAAAAGCUGAAAAUUCUUAAGAAAACGUACAAACGAUCGUAGAAAGGUUUGUUUUGGCCCGCGAUCUCCGACGACGAAACCCCGAUCGAGGUGAAAGCUCAUCCUCCUCUUCGUCAAGUUUUAGUUUUACGGACGACAAAAGUCUGCCGAUGGCAACCGAACGGAAUAACAACGCAUUGGCUUCUCGAACUCGUGUAUUUGUAAAAGUAUGUAUGUGUGCGCGUGUGUAUAUGUGUUGGCAUAUCACCGAUCCAGUCUAACAUACAAAACCAGCCUCUUUCGCAUAUUGAUCUAAAAAGGAAUCGGGAAUUUCAUAACGAUUACUCGAUAAUUCCACUUGUAACGAUACCAUACCUUGAUACCGUACCAACUACCUAGCUACCUAUCUAUGCUCUAUUUAUACCUCUAACAGCUAUGACCGUCUAACAGAGUAGUUUCUCAUCUCGUUAACUAAAUAUCAUUUCGCCAUAUUCAUCUUUCUCUUCACGUCGAUAGUAACAGUAGUAGUUGUAGUCGUAUUUAGUGCUAGUAUCAGUAGUAAUAGUAAUAGUAACAGCGUACAGUAUUGGUAGUCGUAGCAGUAGUAGUAGUAGUAGUAGUAGUAUCAGCAGUUGCAGCAAUAAUAGUAGUAAUAAUAAUAACAGACGUAGAUAAUAAUAACAACGGAAAUAAUGGCCACACUACUGUUGAUAGUUAGCAAUAAUAUGCAACAGUAGUAGUGUAACGAUGACGGUAGUAAUAGUAGUAGCAGCAGCAGCAGUAGUAGUAGUAGUCGUAGUAAUAGUAAUAGUAGUAGUAGUAAUAGUGGUAGUGGUAGUAGUAGUGGUAGUGGUAGUAGUAGUACUAGUAGUAGUAGUAGUGGUAGUAGUAGUAGUAGUAGUAGGAGUAGUAGUAGGAGUAGUGGUAGUAGUAGUAGUAGCAACAGCAGCAGUAGUAGUAGUAAUAGCAAUAGUAAUAGUAGUAGUAAUAGUAAUAGUAAGAGUAAUAAUAGUAGUUACACUAGCAGCAGCAGUAGUAGUGGUAAUGUUGGUAGUAACAGUAGUAGUAGUAGUAUCAGCAGUAGGAAAUGGAAGUGCUAACAGUACCAAUAGCGGUAGUUGUCGUAAUAGUAAUAGUAGCAGUAGCAGUAGUAGUACUAGUAGUAGUAAUAGCGGUAGUAGUAGUAGUAGUAGUAGUAGUAGUAGUAGUAGUAGUAGUAGUAGUUGUAGCAGUAGUAGUAGUAGUAUAGUAGUAGUAGUAGUAGUAGUAGUAGUAGUAGUAGUAGUAGUAGUAUAGUAGUAGGAGUAGUAGUAGUGGUGGUGGUAGUAGUAGUAGUAGUAGUAGUAGUAGUAGUAGUAGUA